rnacentral:rRNA from 1 species
AGCGAACGCUGGCGGCAGGCCUAACACAUGCAAGUCGAACGGCCGUAGCAAUACGGCAGUGGCAGACGGGUGAGUAACACGUGGGAAUGUACCCUUCGGUUCGGAAUAACUCAGGGAAACUUGAGCUAAUACCGGAUACGCCCUUACGGGGAAAGAUUUAUCGCCGAAGGAUCAGCCCGCGUCCGAUUAGCUAGUUGGUGGGGUAAUGGCCCACCAAGGCUCCGAUCGGUAGCUGGUCUGAGAGGAUGAUCAGCCACACUGGGACCGAGACACGGCCCAGACUCCUACGGGAGGCAGCAGUGGGGAAUAUUGGACAAUGGGCGCAAGCCUGAUCCAGCCAUGCCGCGUGAGUGAUGAAGGCCCUAGGGUUGUAAAGCUCUUUCGGCGGGGAAGAUAAUGACGGUACCCGGCAGAAGAAGCCCCGGCUAACUUCGUGCCAGCAGCCGCGGUAAUACGAAGGGGGCUAGCGUUGCUCGGAAUCACUGGGCGUAAAGCGCACGUAGGCGG